AGUUCAUCUUCCCCGUUACUCCUCCUCUUCCAAUCUACAAACGUUGUUUUUUUUUUGUUUGCUAAAAUUUGGAAUCUACAAACGUUAGUUACAAUAAAGCAUCGAUUCUCAGAUUACCCAGAUAUGCUCACUUAGGAUGCUCCAAGAUGUCGUCAACGUUUAUAAGAAGGAGCUUGACAUGGAUCCAAGCAACGUAUGGUUACAAUCAUGUUUGGUAGGCACUCAAGUUUUUAGGUCGAGUCCUCACACUGUCUCAGAUCCAUUUGGGGAUGCUUUCCAAUGGCUCGAGAUAUCGAAGAACUAAAGAACAGAUUCUUCAGCAAUAGUUUCAGGACUCAGGAAGGUGAAGCAGUGGUGGAUCAGGAGGAUAAGAUGGAUAUACCUCCAAGGAAGGAGCCUGAGGUAGAGAAGAAACAAAAACCAGAGCAUCAACCUGAGUUGGAGUUUGUUGAAGAAAAGGAGAGUAAAGGGAGGAAGCAGAUAGCUUUAAAGAAGAUAGAUGAGCAGCUACCGUGCUUACCUCAAACACAAAAUCUUCGAAGAUGAGUCUGUGAUCAAAAUAUUUUACGAAGCAGAGAAAGCUCCUCAUGGACAGGUAUGUAUAGCUGUGAUUUGUAGAAUAUGAUCGAGCACGGAGAGACGCAAAGCUUGCAAACAAUGUCUUGAAGGAGAAAAAGAAAAGCAUAGAUAAACCAAGGGUUAUCAUAUCGAUCUCUCACACAACUUCUGCAAACCAUUUGAUUGCACAGGGGUAGUUGUUGGCAUUUAUACAGCCAACAGAUGGUGCAAACUGCAAUGUUGGAGUUUGAGGUAAUGUAUUUAGAACACGAUAUUAUUCAUCCUUCCAUCUUUGAUAGUUAACCCUUAUUGACUUCAUAUGUCACCCUAUGAAAUUGUAAAUGCGAGCAAGGUAUUGUGUCCAGAUAACUGUCUCCAUAGCAUCUGACUCUGCUGAGUUUGUAGCUUUCGACUCUGAUAUAAGUAAGCUGACUAAUAUCAGAGCUGCAGAGAUCUCCAACAAAUGAUAAUUUUGAACAACUUGCUAUGAACUAGACAUGACUGUGAUGUGCCUUAGAUACUCUAAGCGGUAAAGUUUCUGGAGAUACGCCCUACCUUGACACAGUUAUGUUCAGAUUUACACAGUUAUGCUCUGUCUUACAUUAAUUAGUUUGAUUCCCUCUUUCUAUUGUAUGGUUCAACAUGGAGAAGCUUUUUGUUUUCCUUGUCCAGGACCACUCUAUUGCACAAUAACCCGGCAGAUAUGUUGUCUGGCCCUUCCAUGGACUCUCCUCUUACGCCGUUCUACAGCCCCUCCCUCGCUACUUCCGAAACCAGAGAAUGAUCUCACCCCUCCCCAUUACCUCUACUUUUGUGUUAGGUCUCCACGUUCCUCUAUGUAGGCUUCUGGUUUACAAGUCAGUGCUUGGUUUUCUCGGAGGAGCCUUGGCUGAGGGUUUGUCAAACUGGCUUUAUGUCGUUUUUCUCUGAUCUACCAUGUGGUUCUUUCAUGUUUUUAAACACGUGCGUCCCUGUAUGAUAUUUAAUGGCGUCGGAGAGUUCUUCGUAAAUGCUCUUCUUUCUACCACUAUGAUCAUAAAAAUUAUU